rnacentral:rRNA from 1 species
GCGUGGGCGGCUUACCAUGCAGUCGAGGGGUAACAUUAGUGCUUGCACUAGAUGACGACCGGCGCACGGGUGCGUAACGCGUAUAGAACCUACCUUUUACAGAGGGAUAGCCUUUAGAAAUGAAGAUUAAUACCUCAUGGCACUUUAGAUUGGCAUCAAUUUAGAGUUAAAGAUUUAUCGGUAAAAGAUGGCUAUGCGUCCUAUUAGCUAGAUGGUAAGGUAACGGCUUACCAUGGCAACGAUAGGUAGGGGUCCUGAGAGGGAGAUCCCCCACACUGGUACUGAGACACGGACCAGACUCCUACGGGAGGCAGCAGUGAGGAAUAUUGGGCAAUGGAGGCAACUCUGACCCAGCCAUGCCGCGUGCAGGAAGACGGCCCUAUGGGUUGUAAACUGCUUUUAUACAGGAAGAAACAGUCCCACGAGUUGGGAUCUUGACGGUACUGUAAGAAUAAGCACCGGCUAACUCCGUGCCAGCAGCCGCGGUAAUACGGAGGGUGCAAGCGUUAUCCGGAAUCAUUGGGUUUAAAGGGUCCGUAGGCGGUCUAUUAAGUCAGAGGUGAAAUCCCAUAGCUCAACUAUGGAACUGCCUUUGAUACUGGUAGACUUGAGUUACAGUGAAGUAGAUAGAAUGUGUAGUGUAGCGGUGAAAUGCAUAGAGAUUACACAGAAUACCGAUUGCGAAGGCAGUCUACUAAACUUGUAUACUGACGCCUGAUGGACGAAAGCGUGGGGAGCGGAACAGGAUUAAGAUACCCCUGGGUAGUCCAACGCCCGUAAAACGAUGGAUUACUAGUUUGUUGGAAUUAUUUCAGUGGACUAAGCGGAAGGUGAUAAGUAUCCCCACUCGCGAAGUACGGUCCGCAAGAACUAAAACUCAAAGGAAUGACCGCGGCUCGC